rnacentral:rRNA from 1 species
AACGAACGCUGGCGGCAGGCUUAACACAUGCAAGUCGAACGCCCUAGCAAUAGGGAGUGGCGCACGGGUGAGUAACGCGUGGGAAUGUACCGUUUAGUGGGGGAUAACCAAGGGAAACUUUGGCUAAUACCGCAUACGCCCUUCGGGGGAGAGAUUUAUCGCUAAACGAUCAGCCCGCGUGAGAUUAGGUAGUUGGUGGGGUAACGGCCUACCAAGCCGACGAUCUCUAGCUGGUCUGAGAGGAUGAUCAGCCACACUGGAACUGAGACACGGUCCAGACUCCUACGGGAGGCAGCAGUGGGGAAUAUUGGACAAUGGGGCAACCCUGAUCCAGCCAUGCCGCGUGAGUGAUGAAGGCCUUAGGGUUGUAAAGCUCUUUUACCGAUGAAGAUAAUGACGGUAGUCGGAGAAAAAGCCCCGGCUAACUUCGUGCCAGCCGCCGCGGUAA